rnacentral:rRNA from 1 species
GGAGUCUGGGCCGUGUCUCAGUCCCAAUGUGGCCGAUCAUCCUCUAAGAUCGGCUAACGAUCACUGCCUUGGUGGGCAUUUACCCCGCCAACAAGCUAAUCGUGGUUAGGCCUCUCGAAUAGCAAUAAAUCUUUCCCCUCUCGGGAAUAUGCGGUAUUAGCAGUCAUUUCUAACUGUUGUCCCCCACUAUUCGGCAAGUUCCUAACUAUUACUCACCCGUUCGCCACUAAUCGUAAUCUUUGUAUUGCUACAAAAAUCAAAAUCCGUUCGACUUGCAUGUAUAAAGCAUUCCGCUAGCGUUCGCU